rnacentral:rRNA from 1 species
ACGGGGUGCAGCAGGCGCGAAAUCUUCACAAUGUGCGAAAGCACGAUGAGGGAAUCCCAAGUGCUAGCACGUAAGUGUUAGCUGUUUCUUAGUCUAAAAAACUGAGAGAGUAAGAGCUGGGUAAGACGGGUGCCAGCCGCCGCGGUAAUACCUGCAGCUCAAGUGGUGGCCGCUAUUAUUGGGCCUAAAACGUCCGUAGCCUGUUUAGUAAAUGCCUGGGUAAAUUGUGUAGCUUAACUAUACGAAUACCGGGUAGACUGCUAAACUUGGGACCGGGAGAGGCUAGAGGUACUCCUAGGGUAGAGGUGAAAUUCUGUAAUCCUAGGGGGACCACCAGUGGCGAAGGCGUCUAGCUAGAACGGGUCUGACGGUGAGGGACGAAGCCCUGGGGCGCGAACCGGAUUAGAUACCCGGGUAGUCCAGGGUGUAAACGCUGCUUGCUUGAUGUUAGUUGGGCUCCGAGCCCAACUAGUGUCGGAGAGAAGUUGUUAAGCAAGCUGCCUGGGAAGUACGUCGCAAGAC